rnacentral:rRNA from 1 species
UACGUAGGGUCCGAGCGUUGUCCGGAAUUACUGGGCGUAAAGAGCUCGUAGGCGGUCUGUCGCGUCUGCUGUGAAAACUCGGGGCUUAACCCCGGGCCUGCAGUGGGUACGGGCAGACUAGAGUGCGGUAGGGGAGACUGGAAUUCCUGGUGUAGCGGUGAAAUGCGCAGAUAUCAGGAGGAACACCGGUGGCGAAGGCGGGUCUCUGGGCCGUAACUGACGCUGAGGAGCGAAAGCGUGGGGAGCGAACAGG